AUUGAACGCUGGCGGCAUGCUUUACACAUGCAAGUCGAACGGUAACAGGUUAAGCUGACGAGUGGCGAACGGGUGAGUAAUGCAUCGGAACGUGCCCGGUCGUGGGGGAUAACGCAGCGAAAGCUGCGCUAAUACCGCACACGAUCUGAGGAUGAAAGCGGGGGACCGUAAGGCCUCGCGCGAUCGGAGCGGCCGAUGUCAGGUUAGGUAGUUGGUGGGGUAAAGGCUCACCAAGCCAACGAUCUGUAGCUGGUCUGAGAGGACGACCAGCCACACUGGGACUGAGACACGGCCCAGACUCCUACUGGAGGCAGCAGUGGGGAAUUUUGGACAAUGGGCGAAAGCCUGAUCCAGCAAUGCCGCGUGCAGGAAGAAGGCCUUCGGGUUGUAAACUGCUUUUGUACGGAGCGAAAAGGCCUCCUCUAAUACAGGGGGCUCAUGACGGUACCGUAAGAAUAAGCACCGGCUAACUACGUGCCAGCCGCCGCGGUAA
rnacentral:rRNA from 1 species